AUGCACAGGCUCUCCCUCCUCCCCGCCGCCGCCGCAGCGACCGCCUUCAUUGACGCCGCCACGGCGCCCUUCCUGCUCCCCUCCGCCUCCAUGCCCUCCCUCCGCCUCGGCUCCCCCGCGCUCCUCGCCGCGCGCCGGCGCCCGCCGCCCUGGCUGCGCUGCGGCGGCGGGGCGAGGAGGGGCGCGUUCUGCACCCUCGAGGCCUCCAGGCGCGCGGACGGCGGGUCGGAGGACGAGAAGCGGGGCGGGGACGGGGCCCGCGCGGUGGCCGAGAGGAGGCUGCGAGGCGUCAGCGCCGUGGCGGGCAGCGGGGAGCUCCUCGCCAUCCCCGGAGUCGGCCCGCGCAACCUCAGGAAGCUCGUCGACAACGGCUUCGAGGGCGUCGCGCAUCUCAAGCAGCUCUACAGGGAUAAGUUCUUUGGAAAGUCGAGUGAGAAGAUGGUUGAGUUCUUGCAGAGCUCGGUUGGCAUCAAACAUAAGAAUCAUGCUGAGAGUAUCACUUCAUUCAUUAAAGAGAGUGUUGUUGAGGAGUUAGAGGAUACCAGCUCAUCUAAGCCUCCUCGGAAGAAGAGGCUAACCUUUUGUGUGGAAGGAAAUAUCAGUGUUGGAAAGAGCACCUUUCUCCAGAGAAUAGCUAAUGAGACUAUUGAACUACGUGAUCUUGUUGAAAUAGUACCUGAACCUGUUGCUAAGUGGCAGGAUGUUGGCCCUGACCACUUCAAUAUACUGGAUGCCUUCUACGCUGAGCCCCAAAGAUAUGCUUACACGUUUCAGAACUACGUGUUUGUGACAAGAGUUAUGCAAGAAAGAGAAUCUUCAGGUGGCAUCAAACCUCUCAGACUAAUGGAAAGAAGUGUUUUCAGUGACAGGAUGGUAUUUGUCCGUGCUGUUCAUGAAGCUAACUGGAUGAAUGAGAUGGAGAUCAGCAUCUACGAUUCUUGGUUCGAUCCUGUGGUGUCAUCGCUCCCAGGUCUUAUCCCAGAUGGAUUUAUUUAUCUAAGGGCCAGCCCAGAUACUUGCCAUAAAAGGAUGAUGCUCCGGAAAAGAUCAGAGGAAGGUGGUGUUAGUCUUGACUACUUGCAAGGUUUGCAUGAGAAACAUGAGAGCUGGCUGUUUCCUUCGAAAGGAGGAGGCCGUGGUGUAUUAUCAGUUAGUCAGCUGCCCACACAGAUGGAGGGCAACUUGCCUCCAGGGAUAAGGGAUCGUGUCUUUUACCUGGAAGGAGAUCACAUGCAUUCUAGUAUCCAGAAGGUUCCUGCUCUGGUCUUGGAUUGUGAACCUGACAUUGAUUUCAACAGAGACAUACAAGCGAAACGACAGUACGCGCAGCAAGUUGCAGAGUUCUUUGAAUUCGUGAACAACAAAAAGGAAGCUCCAUCCGAGCAAGCAAGCACUGAGAAGGACCGCAUGAAUCCAAAGAUCAUGUUCCCUAACAAAGGAGGUUUGUGGGUCCCUGAAGGUGUGCCGCCUUUCGCGGGCUCUGCAAUGAAUCUGGAUUUCAGAAGAGCCAUGUCUUCAUAUCUCCCAACUUAA
rnacentral:rRNA from 1 species